UAGGGAAUAUUAGUAAUGGGCGAAAGCCUGAACUAGCAACGCCGCGUGUGCGAAGAAGGCCUUCGGGUUGUAAAGCACUUUUUGAGAGGAUGAGGAAGGACGGUACUCUCAGAAUAAGUCUCGGCUAACUACGUGCCAGCAGCCGCGGUAACACGUAGGAGGCGAACGUUAUCCGGAUUUACUGGGCGUAAAGCGCGUGUAGGUGGUCUGGUAAGUAGGGCGUGAAAGCUCCUGGCUCAACUGGGAGAGGCCGUUCUAAACUGCCGAACUAGAGGGUGGUAGAGGGAGGUGGAAUUCCGGGUGUAGCGGUGGAAUGCGCAGAUAUCCGGAGGAACACCAGUGGCGAAAGCAGCCUCCUGGACCAUUCCUGACACUCAGACGCGAAAGCUAGGGUAGCAAACG
rnacentral:rRNA from 1 species